UGAACGCUGGCGGCGUGCCUAAUACAUGCAAGUCGAGCGAACAGACGCGGAGCUUGCUCCUCUGACGUUAGCGGCGGACGGGUGAGUAACACGUGGAUAACCUACCUAUAAGACUGGGAUAACUUCGGGAAACCGGAGCUAAUACCGGAUAAUAUAUUGAACCGCAUGGUUCACUAGUGAAAGACGGUUUUGCUGUCACUUAUAGAUGGAUCCGCGCCGCAUUAGCUAGUUGGUAAGGUAACGGCUUACCAAGGCAACGAUGCGUAGCCGACCUGAGAGGGUGAUCGGCCACACUGGAACUGAGACACGGUCCAGACUCCUACGGGAGGCAGCAGUAGGGAAUCUUCCGCAAUGAGCGAAAGCCUGACGGAGCAACGCCGCGUGAGUGAUGAAGGUCUUCGGAUCGUAAAACUCUGUUAUUAGGGAAGAACAAAUGUGUAAGUAACUAUGCACGUCUUGACGGUACCUAAUCAGAAAGCCACGGCUAACUACGUG
rnacentral:rRNA from 1 species